rnacentral:rRNA from 1 species
UACGAAGGAUGCAAGCGUUAUCCGGAAUUAUUGGGCGUAAAGAGCUCGUAGGCGGUUUGUCGCGUCUGCUGUGAAAACCCGAGGCUCAACCUCGGGCCUGCAGUGGGUACGGGCAGACUAGAGUGCGGUAGGGGAGAUUGGAAUUCCUGGUGUAGCGGUGGAAUGCGCAGAUAUCAGGAGGAACACCGAUGGCGAAGGCAGAUCUCUGGGCCGUAACUGACGCUGAGGAGCGAAAGCGUGGGGAGCGAACAGG